rnacentral:rRNA from 1 species
UACAGAGGUCUCAAGCGUUGUUCGGAUUCAUUGGGCGUAAAGGGUGUGUAGGUGGCGCGCUAAGUCGGGUGUGAAAUUCGGACGCUUAACUCCGAAACUGCAUUCGAUACUGGCGUGCUUGAGGACUGGAGAGGAGACUGGAAUUUAUGGUGUAGCGUGAAAUGCGUAGAGAUCAUGAGGAAGACCAGUGGCGAAGGCGGGUCUCUGGACAGUUCCUGACAGCUGAGACACGAAGGUCAGGGGAGCAAACGGG